UUGUUAACCACUAUCACUGCCCGAAUUUCUCUGUGCUCACCAUUUGCACCCCACAGAACCUUACCUGCUAUCCAACGCCGCGGCCUCCGCGCUCUGCGAGCUCCAGUCUCCGGUUCUCCCCUGAGCCCAGUCAAGCCUCCGCCUCGCCAGCCUGCUGGUCGUUCCAGCCACAGAGGUCUCCUGAGUUAUUUAUACUACCCAGCCUACGGGUCUUCCUCUGUUCUCAUCUUUUGUACUCCUUGGUUGGAUUUACCUGUGGCUUUCCUUUGUUUAAUUAAAGACUGUCAUUUUGCCCUCGCAUUUGAGUCCUCUCUCUUCAAUACCCAUCACAGCUACUGUAUAAUUUUGAGGUCUUUGUGUGCUUAGUACUUACAUGGGUAGUUGGGGAAAAUGGGUUCACACUCCUUUAAAGAGAGGAACUCCAAGAAGAAACACCACUGUGUUGUCUGCAGACAAGCCCUCGACAGCCAUGGCAUGUACUGCAGAGUGCAUGCCCUUGUUUGAGAGAGAGAGAAAGAGUUGAGUGGGAGCAAGAGCGUAAGAGGAUCAGAAAGAGAGAGAGAGAAAGAAAGAGAGGAGAGCGUGUGUGUGAUAUAGGAACUCUAGAAAACUGGACUCAUCUGAGAAAGAUGGUAGAAUCAAUUUGUGGUUGUAGUGAGAUGAUCUGUUUGGCACAAAGAGAAAUACUGUAGAAAAGAGAGAAUGAACAAUAUAUGAAUCAAAGUAGAGACAAGAUUGUAACUGACACAUGAGGGAUACAAUCAGGUCUCUGUCCCCAGUGAAGUUAUCUCAGAUCCACCUCCAUUUCAAAACCAGAUAAACAUUCCUCUCAGUAGAGACAAAAUGGAGUUUUAUGGAGAAGUUGAUGGGCAGUCAUUAUGACUUUGACCUGACAUACAUAACUGAGCGUAUCAUCUCUGUCUGACCUGGAAGACCAGCGUUACAGUGCUAACCUCAAAGAUGUGGCAGCCAUGUUGAAAUCUAAACAUCAAGACAAGUUCUUGGUCAGUUGAACUUCUGUUUAAAAUCACUGCUGAGAUCUAAAGCCAUGUGAAUUAUGGCAUUACGUUGUGACAUCAAACCAAAGGUAUCUUCUUGCUGUUUGAUUAAAAACAGCAUUAUAUGUAUUAUUUCAUUAGUUAGAUUUGCAAGCAAAUUAAUUUAAAAGUAACUGUAUGGCUUGCUUGUUUUGAUGUAUGCCUCUGUUUCUGUAUUUCUGGGAUGACCCAUUCCCUUGCCUCAGGUUGAGAAGUUUGGGUGGCCUGAUCUACAUGCCCCAUCCCUCGAUAAAAUAUGUGCUGUGUGCAAAACCAUGGAGAACUGGCUUAACUCUGACCCCCAGAAUGUGGUUGUACUGUACUGCAAGGUUCAAAAAAGAUGAACAGCUCUCCUCUUUUCCUGCAUAAAAUUCAUAUUCCAGCUUUGCUCAACUACCAGGCAGGAGGUUACUCUCCCUUUUUGAAGCUCUAUCAGUCGUUGCAGCUGGUCUAUUCUUCAGGCAAAUAGUAGUGAUAUUCAGGGUCCUAACAGUAAGAUGCUGUGUGUGAAUAUUAAACCAGCUCUACUGCUGAAGGGAGACAUCUUGAUGACCGAUUCCUUGCAGACGCCACAGUGGAGUUGCUGUUUUCUUCUGGUCUGCAAAGGAGAGGUGGAGAGGUGCAGGGAAAUGAGCCAGGAGUAUCUGUGGAUUAUGGCAGCGCAGAUCCUAUUGUGCGCUGGGACUCGUAUGAGAACUUUAACAUUCACCAAGAGGAUAGUGUUGAGGAUAUCUGUCACAAACAUGGGUCUUUGAACGGUAGUCUGUAUGCUCAAGUGAAGAAGCGUCGAGCACCAGGCUCCAGUCCCAGUGGAUGUCCGACUUCCGUCAAAACCCCCACACAUUCACCCUGUCAUUCCUCCUCUACCCCCAUUCAUCUUUCCAUCCAGCCUCUUUCGCUCAGCAAAGAUGCAAGUCGCUCCUCAGCACCACCCGAAUCCCCCUCUCCACUUCUAAGAGAAAAAAGAGAGAAGGACGAAGACAGGGAAAGACACAGAGAAAAUUCUUGACGAUGGCAACUGCUCUCCCAUGAGACUGGAAUGGCCAGUUCAGUCUUAUGGUCACCUGUAUUCCCACAUUUAUUAAUUCUGUGACCCAGAGCUUGCACAAAUGCUCCAUCCCAAACACCACACACUUCCCUGCAGCCGCACUGCCCCGCUGCCAGUCUGAGACUCGUGUGCAUCCCAGCCGGAUCUUUUAUGGGAGAGAGGGCAAUGUCUGCACCAUCCCUGCCCAGAAACCAUCAGGCACAUGUACUCAUAUCCCACUCACGUAACCCACCUUCAUUCGCCACUUUCCCACUCACAGUCCUCCCAUUCCCACACACUUCCCACACAGACACAUGUGUUCUACUCUGGGGAGGCAUGUCCUGUGUUCUAUUGCUCUGCCCUCCCCUAGGGCCACACCCACAUCCCUUCUUCUCUGUCUCCUACUCAGUCACUGCUCUCCAGUCCAUACCGAGAAUUACAUUACAGCACGACUCCCCCAACAUCGUGCUCCUGUUCUCGCUUACGAGAGGAUGUUGCCCUCCAUUCCUUACACGGCAGAGAAAUAGAAGCUCUCCCUUGGUCUAGAGAGACAGAGUUUGGGAUUAGGAGGGAGGGGCCUGUGCACUGGAGGGAUGAAAGGGCGGAGUCUCAUUGGGAAGGAGCUCAAGAGGCCGAAUACUUGCGGCGCAAAAUAGCAAUGUCACCAGUAAUGUUAUCAUACAGACAUUGCCACACUGUACCAAAACAAGACCAAGCUAUAUAUGUUACAGACACCCAACCCAAACAUAUGACCCCAAUCAGUCCAUAUCCCAGCCCCCAAAGCAGUGGCUAUCACAGCCCUCGUCCACCCUGUCCUUGCACUCCACAACCAUUCAGAGACAGUCCUGGAUACGUCUCCAUCAGUCAUUCGUUAUCCCCCAUUGCUCUCACUCCAUCUCCAAAACAAGCCAGUCACAACAAUGCUUCAGCUGAAGAGAGUCAGCAUAGCAUGAAUAGUAAUCACAUUGACUCAGUUUGGUCAAUAAAUUACAGCUAACAAAUAAUGCAUUCCUUAAACAACUUUUGAUAACACUUCACAAUAAAGUUCAUUAGUUACAGUAUUUAUUCAUCUUAAUGUUAACAUUAAUUAAUAAAAGUAUUGGUAUUGUUCAUGUUAGCUUAGGUCCAUUAAUAUUAACAGAUAAAACUUUGGAUUUUAAUAAUGUAUUAGUAAAUGUUGAAAUUAUUAUGAACUUCAUGUUAACUAAUUUUCAUGUUAACUAAUGUAGUUAACGUUAACAAAUGGAACCUUAUUGUAAAAUGUUAUCAAACAUUUGUGUUUCAAGUAAAUGCUGUUCUUCUGAACUUGAUAUACAUCAAAAUAUCAUGAAACAAAAUAUAUCACAGUUUCCACAAAAAUAUUAAGCAGCACAAAUGUUUUCAUCAUUAAUAAUAAUAAAAAAUGUUUUUAAACAAUAUAAAAUAUAUAAAAAUAGAGAAGAGUUUCAAUUAUACAAUAUAAUAAUAAUUAAUAUAUUUAAUAAUUAAUAAUAUAAUAAUUAAAUUGAAUUAAUAUUUCACAAUAUUACAGUGUUUUUUAUCAAAUUAGUGCAGCCUUGGUGAGCAUAAGCAUUUAAUAAUCGUACUGACCCCAAACUUUUGAAAAGUAAUGUACAUUUAAAGAGAUAGUUCUCCAAAAAAAAAAAAAAAUGAAACCUCUGUUCAUCACUCUGAAGUUGUCCAAGCCAGAUUUUUAUUUUAUUUAUUUAUUUAUUUUUUUUUUUUGUGGAACACAAAAGGAGAUAUUUUGUAGAAUGUAAACACUGUUCUUUCCUAUACACAAAAUUUGUUGGUGAUUGAUAAUGUCAAGCUUUAAAAGAGACACAAAAAUACCAUAAAUGUAACAUUUAUUUUAAUUUAUUUAUUUUUCCCCAGCUUUUUUCUCUUUCCUAAUCUAUUGUUGUGUAUUUUGUAGAUGGGCGUAUAGAGGUUUUAGAUGCUGAUAAAAGUCACAUUGAGGCCUUUUCACCUCCUGUUAAUCUCUCAGCAACAGUUAAUUUUGAUAGUUGAACGUUGAUUUUAAUGUGAUAUCAAGUAAAUUCUUCUGCGUAUUCUAACAGCAGACCAAUGGAGGUGGGAGAACCAAUGAAAAGCAAAGUUCUAGAAAGUAGAACAUUCCCUGGGUCUCUGAUCAAUGUUGUCUCGGCUAUCAGUGGCACAGAGGAAAAUACAAAGAAAACAACCAUCACAGAUUGUAAAUCUAACACCCCUCUCAUUAGUAACCCACCAUCAUCCAAGGUUGUGGAGUCAGUGCAGGUACAAACACACAACCCCAAACCUCUCAGUACCAGCAUCCUGGAAUCAGAGCAGGAUAAAGAGGAGUGCCCCGGCUCAUGCUACACCUCAACUUCAACCUCAACAAGUCCUCAACCUCCACUUUGCUCUUCAGAAAGAAGCUCUGCUUCUAAAUUCCCUUCAUUUAACAUAAAUUCUGAAAUGCAAAGCAUGACAACAGUGACUUGACUGCAACGUCCUCUGACCCUGAUGGCUACGUCACACCCUUAUUCCCUAGAGCAGUGGUUCCCAGCCCUGGUCCUGGAGAACCCCCAACACUGCACAUUUAAGAUGUCUCCCUAUUCAAACACACCAGAUUCAACUCAUCAGCUCAUUAGUGAAGACUCCAAGACCUCAAAUGUGUGUGUCAGAUAAGAGCCACCAAAAGCAUGCAGUGUUGGGGGUUCUCCAGGACCAGGAUUGGAAACCACUGCCCUAGAGCAUACAGCUACCCUCUUCUGAUGGAGCCUCAUGUACCCUAUACAGGCUAUACUGAGAUUACCUUCAGAACGUGUCUGAAUGCACUAGCUCUUCAUCAGCAAAGUCAGCUGAAAAACCUGUGACUUCCUUUGCCCAGUUCCAUGUGUCCUUCUCCACUACUAACAAUGAAUUGCUCCCACAUCUAAAUGCAAAGUAACCCCCUCUAGUGGCAUUGAGGAGCCAGAGAACCGCCUCAGCCCCAAGUUUGUUCAAAACAGCUCCAAGUAUUGGAACAAACCUGGCAUCUCCAGAGACCAGGCCAUCGCAGUAUUAAAAGAUAAGGAGCCUGGCUGCUUCCUCAUUAGGGAUAGUAAUUCAUUCCAAGGCGCAUAUGGAUUGGCUCUGAAAGUCAGCACACCUCCAGUCCACGCUAGUAACCACGGAGAGACAGGCAACCCACAGGAGCAGCUAGUUAGGCACUUUCUGAUUGAGAGUGGUCCUCAAGGAGUGAAGAUCAAAGGCUGUCAAAAUGAAACAUAUUUCAGUGAGACAAAAAAAGGCUGUGGUGUAUCAGCACUCCAUUACUCCUGUGUCUCUUCCUUGUGUUUUACGAAUCCCAGAUAGAGAUCUUGAAAGGGAAUUGCAAGAGUUGCAAAGUGGAACUAAUACCAGCACAGCUGCAGAUCUAUUAAAACAGGGGGCAGAAUUCUUUGAUGAAAAGAAGGCUCUGAAAAACAGCAUUUGUUUGAAAAUCUUGUAAUGUUCUCUACCUAAACACUGGCCCACAAGACGCCUCCAAGGCAACCGAGUGCACUUUGCCCCAGGACCCUCGUCCUUCACCAACAGUCAUACACUUCAAAGUGUGCACACAAGGCAUCACCCUCACUGAUAACCAGCGCAGACUGUUUUUCACAAUGUGACUUCCAGCAGUGUGGCUCCACUGGAUCAAAGGUGGAUUGAUGCUGAUAACACUUCCAGCAAGAUGUUUGGAUUUGUUGCACGGCGCAGCAGUGAAUUGGGAAAUGUGUGUCACCUGUUUGCAGAGCUGGACUCAGAGCAGCCAGCCACGGCCAUUGUGAACUUCAUCAAUAAAGUCAUGCUGGGACCUCAACAGCUGCGAAAAUGAACACAGUAUAGGAGAGAUGGAGAAAAACAAAACAGAGAGAGCAAAGGACAAGAUGGUAUCGCUGUGGAUAUUGUCACGUUUAUAUACAGAAUGAGAGAAGUGUUUCUCAUUAGGAUACACAAAACUGAUUCAGUAUGCAAACUUUGUCUUUUUCUGUCAUGUUCACAUAUAGUGUAAAUCAGUGAGAUUAGGUCAUGUUGAAAUUGAGUGCAUUAUGAAGUGAUUUCAAAUUAAACUUCUUUUAUUAAAUAAAAAUGAAAUGUACAAGAAAUACAACAAAUGGAUAUUCCUGGUAAAGUAUAUCUAAUGGAUAAAUAAACGAGAGAGAAAGUUUUUAACACUCAAACCUAUCUUUGCUUUUAUACUACCACUCAGGAUGCCAAAGCUCAAUGACUGUUAUUGUGUUGUGUUUUUAUUUUCAUUGAUUUUGUGUGUGCUUGUUUUCAGUUAAAUGGUCAGAUCUUUUGGUUGUUCGUUUUCUGUUCAAAAUGCCCUUUAUAAGACACAAAGUCAUAUUUUUAGCAACUGUUGCAUUUUUAAAUUCAUACUUUUUAGUAUUUAAAUAAAAUAUUACAAAAAU
ensembl:lncRNA